rnacentral:rRNA from 1 species
UAUCAAUAAGCGGAGGAAAAGAAACUAACAAGGAUUCCCCUAGUAACUGCGAGUGAAGCGGGAAAAGCUCAAAUUUAAAAUCUGGUAGUCUCUGGCUGCCCGAGUUGUAAUCUAGAGAAGUGUUAUCCGCGCUGGACCGUGUACAAGUCUCCUGGAAUGGAGCGUCAUAGAGGGUGAGAAUCCCGUCUUUGACACGGACUACCAGGGCUUUUGUGAUGCGCUCUCAAAGAGUCGAGUUGUUUGGGAAUGCAGCUCUAAAUGGGUGGUAAAUUCCAUCUAAAGCUAAAUAUUGGCGAGAGACCGAUAGCGAACAAGUACCGUGAGGGAAAGAUGAAAAGAACUUUGGAAAGAGAGUUAAACAGUACGUGAAAUUGUUGAAAGGGAAACGCUUGAAGUCAGUCGCGUUGGCCAGGAAUCAGCCUUGCUUUUGCUUGGUGUAUUUCCUGGCUGAUGGGUCAGCAUCAAUUUUGACCGGUGGAAAAAGGUCAGGGGAAUGUGGCAUCUUCGGAUGUGUUAUAGCCUCUGGUCGUAUACAUCGGUUGGGAUUGAGGAACUCAGCACGCCGCAAGGUCGGGUUUUUAACCACGUUCGUGCUUAGGAUGCUGGCAUAAUGGCUUUAAUCGACCCGUCUUGAAACACGGACCAAGGAGUCUAACAUGCCUGCGAGUGUUUGGGUGGAAAACCCGAGCGCGUAAUGAAAGUGAAAGUUGAGAUCCCUGUCGUGGGGAGCAUCGACGCCCGGACCAGACCUUCUGUGACGGCUCCGCGGUAGAGCAUGUAUGUUGGGACCCGAAAGAUGGUGAACUAUGCCUGAAUAGGGUGAAGCCAGAGGAAACUCUGGUGGAGGCUCGUAGCGAUUCUGACGUGCAAAUCGAUCGUCAAAUUUGGGUAUAGGGG